ensembl:lncRNA
UGCCAUCUCCUCUUGAAUAACAGUGUUGUUACCACACAGGGCUGGCAUAAAGUGAAGCUAGCAACUUGCAACCUUGCUACUGUGGCUCCCAUGUCAAUUUAUUCCUAUUAAGGAUGUGUAAGAUUCUUGUUGUCACUAAGAACAUUUGUGACUAUUUACUACCAAAAGAAAUUCAAGUCUGCAAUAAAUUUGCUAUAUACAUAGUUGAGACCAUCAGAUUGCAUCAUCACCAGAACUAGCCUGGGUCUCACUUGUCUUUCUCUGCUGGGGAUGGUAGUCCAUGACAAGCAAUAAUUGUUGAAAAGAUGUAUGGAUGGAUGGAAAUGUCAAGCACGGUGUCUGACAUAUGAGAUCAGUAAGUAAAAAAAAAAAUCUGCUAACACUCUCAGUCCUUCAAAUGAGAAUCUCCACUCCAUGACACCUUAGCCAUUUAGUGGUUCCUAUGUAGGAACACUUCCAAAGAGAGCAAAGGCAAAUGAAAUUUAUUCAGGUCUGAUCAAAAACAAGCCCAUUCACACAAACAUCACAACUGAAGAUCAACCGGAAGCUCCUCCUUCAUCGUCCAUCCUGAUCCUGGCUUUGAGGUACAGGAUGCCAAGUGCAGGGACAUUAGAUGACAGAGCCAAAGCAGACUUCAUGACAAAGAAACUUCAAAUCCGUGAGCUUCAGUCAUGGGGCAGAAAUAGUCUGUGAGAACUAAAAGGGUGCGGGGGUGGGGGUGGGGGUGGGAGAGGGAAAUAUGUCGGUUGUGGGGUAGAGUCCAUAUAUUUUAGGUAAUUGCUGCUGCUGCUGCUGCUGCUGCUGCUGCUGCUGCUGCUGCUAAGUCUCUUCAGUCGUGUCCGACUCUGUGCGACCCCAUAGACGGCAGCCCACCAGGCUUCCCCCGUCCCUGGGAUUCUCCUG